ACGAACGCUGGCGGCGUGCUUAACACAUGCAAGUCGAGCGGUAAGGCCCUUUCGGGGGUACACGAGCGGCGAACGGGUGAGUAACACGUGGGUGACCUGCCCUCAGCUCUGGGAUAAGCCUGGGAAACCGGGUCUAAUUCCGGAUAUGACUCCAUGACGCAUGUUGUGGGGUGGAAAGCCUUGUGCGGCUGAGGAUGGGCCCGCGGCCUAUCAGCUUGUUGGUGGGGUGAUGGCCUACCAAGGCGACGACGGGUAGCCGGCCUGAGAGGGCGACCGGCCACACUGGGACUGAGACACGGCCCAGACUCCUACGGGAGGCAGCAGUGGGGAAUCUUGCGCAAUGGGCGAAAGCCUGACGCAGCGACGCCGCGUGAGGGAUGACGGCCU
rnacentral:rRNA from 1 species